ACGCACGCUGGCGGCAGGCCUCACACAUGCCAGUCGAGCGAGGACUUCGGUUCUAGCGGCGGACGGGUGAGUAACGCGUGGGAAUGUGCCCUUCUCUACGGAAUAGCCCUGGGAAACUGGGAGUAAUACCGUAUACGCCCUAUUGGGGAAAGAUUUAUCGGAGAAGGAUCAGCCCGCGUUGGAUUAGGUAGUUGGUGGGGUAAUGGCCUACCAAGCCGACGAUCCAUAGCUGGUUUGAGAGGAUGAUCAGCCACACUGGGACUGAGACACGGCCCAGACUCCUACGGGAGGCAGCAGUGGGGAAUCUUAGACAAUGGGGGCAACCCUGAUCUAGCCAUGCCGCGUGAGUGAUGAAGGCCUUAGGGUUGUAAAGCUCUUUCAGCUGGGAAGAUAAUGACGGUACCAGCAGAAGAAGCCCCGGCUAACUCCGUG
rnacentral:rRNA from 1 species